ACCAUUUAGUGAAAGGAUGGAAUGACUUAGUGUUACUACCAUUUAGUGAAAGGAUGGAAUGACUUAGUGUUACUACCAUUUAGUGAAAGGAUGGAAUGACUUAGUGUUACUAACAUUUAGUGAAAGGAUGGAAUGACUUUAGUGUUACUAACAUUUAGUGAAAGGAUGGAAUGACUUAG